CCCAACAGUGUCAUGCUUUUGAGGGCAGCACUUUUCCUAGGAGGGUGGCGGGGUAUAGGGACAGGUAUCUUAAGUACACUACCUAAUGUCACCAAUUUCUGCCUGAGAUUAAAAAGACAGAGAUGCCCCCUUCCUUCCCUCUUUAUUCAUUGGAGAACCUCCUCUAUCUCCUCACCCCUCCCUCAGCUCACACCUUCUCCCCUCUCUCUCCCUGGCUCCCGGAACUGGUCUGUGGCAUUGGCAAAAGUUAAAUACAGAGAAUCAGUGAGAAGGAAGACAGAGAGAUUAGGCUCCCUCAGGAGAAGGGGUCCCCAUCUCACCUCGCAGGUUGGCCAGGCCCUGUACCAAGCACCUUCCAUGAUUAUCUCUCAGAAUCCCUCUAACAACCUCAGAAGACAGGGGCCGUUUUCAUCUUCAUUUUACAGGAGCUAGUCUGUGGAGAAGGAAGUUUGGUUUUGAUUUACAAGUCUCCAGAGAAAGGGAAAUUCCUUUACCUCCGCUUUUGUUGGAGCAGCCAGUUGUCACUUCCUGGAGCUGUUGCCGGUCUCUCAGAUGGCCCACAGAGCUCCCUCCAGCCAGAGAACACCAGAGUAUGGGACACUGAAGGACCUCCCUGUUCCAGAGGGUGCAGCAGGGAUAACAUCAAUCCCAUGUAAGUAAGACAAGGCCAAAUCACCCAUUCAAUGAACAGCCGUCGGGCAGGUGCUCUGAGCCCAGCCUUUAUCACAUGGCACUGCACAGCCCAGGGUCCCUGUGACGCAGGGGCUUAAUUAGGGUAAAAAAAAUUACUACACAUACUAGCUAAUAUGCACUCGGUUCUUAUUAGAUGUCAAGUAUGUUAUAAGCACAGUGAGCAAACGUAGGACAGAUAAGAUCUUUGCCCUCAAGUAGCUUGUCUUUUAAUGGUUUUUCACAUGAUACCCUCCUUUUUUUUUCCUUUGGCAUAAUUUACACAUAUUAAAAUUUCCCUUUUCUUAGUGUAAAGUUCUGUGAGUUUUGACAAACACAGUCAUGUAACCACCAUCACAGUCAAGGUAUAGAAUAUGUUCAUCGCGUCCUGAAUGUCCCUCUUGCUCUUUAGUGACCGACCCCUCCCCCCGCAUCCCCAGGCACUGGCAGCCACUGAUCUGAUGGCUAUCCUUAUAGUUUUGACUUUUCCCAAAUCGAAUCCUUCAGUAUGUAGUCAUUUGAAUCUGGCUCCCUUACUUACCACGACGACCACGACGUUUUGAUACCUAUCCGUAUUGUUCAUGCCUUGUUUUCUGUCUUUCCACUUUUUUAUAAUUUCUAAUUUUAUUUAUAUUUUGAGAGAAAGAGUGAGAGAGAGCAGGGGAGGGGCCAGGAGAGAGGGACAGAGAGAAUCUCAAGCAGGCUCUGCACUGUCAGCACAGAGCGUGAUGCAGGGCUCCAACUCACGAACCGUGAGAGAGACCAUGACCUGGGCUGAAAUCAAGAGUCAGAGAGAGACUUAACUGAAUGAGCCACCCAUGCGCCCCUCUUUCCACUUUUUUUUACAAAACUUUUCCAAUAUAAAGUUAAAAGAAUAAUUUAGUCAAUACCUAUAAACCCACCACCUGGAUUCAAUAAUUGUUUCCCUUUUGCCAUAUUUCAAAAUGAUGUAUAUACAUAGGCAUAUAUAUUGGCUGAACCGUUUGAAAGUACUUCUAGAACUUCAACACAGGGCUCCUGGGUGGCUCAAUUGUUAAGCAUCUGACUUCAGCUCAGGUCAUGAUCUCACAGUUGGUGAGUUUGCAUCCUACAUCAGGUGGGUUCAAGGCCCCACUUUGGGUGAGGGCAGGACCCUCUUGAGGUAAAACAUGAGCCCUGGGUGAGCACCGCCUCUCUCUGUCUCUCUGUCUCUCUCUCUCUCUGCCCUUUGUGGGAUUCUCUUUCUUUCUGCCUCUCACUUACUUGUGCCCUCUCUCUCUCUCUUUUUCUCUCAAAAUAAAUACAUAAGUAAAUUAAAAUAAAUCCUCAACAUCUAUUACCUAGGAAGGAGGACAUCUGAUGAGCAUGUCAUACAAGGAAGUUGACAACAAUUCCCAAGUGUCAUCUACUACCCAUCCAUUUGCAAAUGUCCCCUAUUUAAAAAAAAAAAAAAAAAAAAGUCUUUUGUAACUUUUUACCUGGCAGAGUUUUGUUUCUAAAUUUUUAGUUUUGAAGACAUUAUAGACUUACAGUAAGAUGCAGAAAGUUAAGAGAUCCAUCCAUUGGACGGCCUCCUACAAUGGGUGGCAUCUCAUAUAGAGCUGUUGGAAAAUAUCCAAACCAGGACAUUGACAUUGGUACAUUAUUGCUAAUUAGACUGUAGACCUGAUUAAUUUUCACCAUUUAUAACCUGCACUCAUUUGUGUGUAUGGAUGUGUGCAUAGCUCUAUGCACUUAAGUCCUGUGUACAGAUCUGCAUCUCCACCACCACAGUCAAGGGGUGGACUGCUACCUCACCACAGAAGGACUCUCUGGUGCUGCCUGUCUAUAUGUACCCGCUCUCGCUACUUGCCUCCCUGUCCCCAGGUCACCGCGAUCUGUUCUCCAACUCUAUAGUCUUGUUGUUUUGAGACUAUUAUAUACGUGAAAUUACACAGUAUGCAACCUUUUGAGAUUGAACUUUUUUUCACUAAGCAGAAUGCCCUUGAGGUCCCUCUAGGUUGUCUUGUGUGUUAUCAACAGUUCAUUUGCUUUAAUGGCUGAGUAGUAUUCUCACACAGAUGUGCCAUACUAUAGCCUCCAGUUGAAGGACAUGUGAAUUAUUUCCAAUUUUGGCAAUUAUGUAAAUACAGUCACAGACAUUUGUGUACAGCUUUGCAUGUGAACGUAAGGUUCAUUUCAUUCGGCGGCAUCACUCGGUUGCACAGUCAAGUGUAAGUUUAUCUUUAUGUGAACUGGCCAACUCUUCUGCAAACUGGCCGCACCGUUUUUGCAUUCCCGGCAGCUUGUGUGAGAGUUGCCAUUGCUCUGCAUCUUGCCAACACUAGCUGUUAGCACUUAAUUUUUUUCUUUUUAAUUCUAGCCAUUCUAAUAUAUGUGUAAUGGUAUCCCACAUAACUUUUUAAAACUUUUUUUUAAC